CUACGGGUGGCUGCAGUGGGGAAUAUUGGACAAUGGGCGAAAGCCUGAUCCAGCCAUGCCGCGUGUGUGAAGAAGGCCUUCGGGUUGUAAAGCACUUUCAGUGGGGAAGAAAGCCUUGGGGCUAAUACCCUCGAGGAAGGACAUCACCCACAGAAGAAGCACCGGCUAACUCCGUGCCAGCAGCCGCGGUAAUACGGAGGGUGCGAGCGUUAAUCGGAAUUACUGGGCGUAAAGCGCGCGUAGGCGGUCUGAUAAGCCGGUUGUGAAAGCCCCGGGCUCAACCUGGGAACGGCAUCCGGAACUGUCAGGCUAGAGUGCAGGAGAGGAAGGUAGAAUUCCCGGUGUAGCGGUGAAAUGCGUAGAGAUCGGGAGGAAUACCAGUGGCGAACGCGGCCUUCUGGACUGACACUGACGCUGAGGUGCGAAAGCGUGGGUAGCAAACAGGAUUAGAUACCCGGGUAGUC
rnacentral:rRNA from 1 species